CCUACGGGUGGCAGCAGUGAGGAAUAUUGGUCAAUGGACGAGAGUCUGAACCAGCCAAGUAGCGUGAAGGAUGACUGCCCUAUGGGUUGUAAACUUCUUUUAUAUGGGAAUAAAAUGUUCCACGUGUGGGAUUUUGUAUGUACCAUAUGAAUAAGGAUCGGCUAACUCCGUGCCAGCAGCCGCGGUAAUACGGAGGAUCCGAGCGUUAUCCGGAUUUAUUGGGUUUAAAGGGAGCGUAGGUGGAUUGUUAAGUCAGUUGUGAAAGUUUGCGGCUCAACCGUAAAAUUGCAGUUGAAACUGGCAGUCUUGAGUACAGUAGAGGUGGGCGGAAUUCGUGGUGUAGCGGUGAAAUGCUUAGGUAUCACGAAGAACUCCGAUUGCGAAGGCAGUUCACUGGACUGCAACUGACACUGAGGCUCGAAAGUGUGGGUAUCAAACAGGAUUAGAUACCCUAGUAGUC
rnacentral:rRNA from 1 species